AUUGAACGCUGGCGGCAGGCCUAACACAUGCAAGUCGAGCGAGCGGCGGACGGGUGAGUAAUGUAUGGGGACUGCCCGAUAGAGGGGGAUAACUACUGGAAACGGUGGCUAAUAGCGCAUACGAUCGGCUGACACAUAGUGGAUUAGCGAGUGGGUGGGGUAAAGGCUCACCUAGGCGACGCUCUCUAGCUGGUCUGAGAGGCGGAUCAGCCACACUGGGACUGAGAAACGGCCCAGACUCCUACGGAGGCAGCAGUGGGGAAUAUUGCACAAUGGGCGAAAGCCUGAUGCAGCAAUGCCGCGUGUAUGAAGAAGGUUUUCGGGUUGUAAAGCACUGUCAGCGGGGAGGCGUUACCCACAGAGGAAGCAACGGCUAACUACGUGCCAGCAGCCGCGGUAAUAC
rnacentral:rRNA from 1 species